rnacentral:rRNA from 1 species
AUACGGAGGAUCCGAGCGUUAUCCGGAUUUAUUGGGUCUAAAGGGUGCGCAGGCGGGAGAUUAAGUCGGCGGUGAAAUUUUGCAGCUCAACUGUAAAAGUGCCUUCGAAACUGGUUUCCUUGAGUGUAGAUGAAGUAGGCGGAAUUUGUGGGGUAGCGGUGAAAUGCAUAGAUAUCACGAGGAACUCCGAUUGCGCAGGCAGCUUACUAAACUACUACUGACGCUCAGGCACGAAGGCGUGGGGAUCAAACAGGAUUAGAUACCCUGGUAGUCCACGCAGUAAACGAUGAUUACUAGCUGUUUGCGAUUCAAUGUAAGCGGCUGAGCGAAAGCGUUAAGAAAUCCACCUGGGGAGUUCGUUCGCAAGAGUGAAACUCAAAGGAAUUGACGGGG